rnacentral:tRNA from 2 species
GCGGGGUAGAGCAGUUGGUUAGCUUGCUAGUUUAACUUGCUAGAGGUCGGUGGUUCAAAUCCACCCCCCGCUA